rnacentral:rRNA from 1 species
GAUGAACGCUGGCGGCGUGCCUAAUACAUGCAAGUCGAGCGAACAGAUAAGGAGCUUGCUCCUUUGACGUUAGCGGCGGACGGGCGAGUAACACGUGGGUAACCUACCUAUAAGACUGGGAUAACUUCGGGAAACCGGAGCUAAUACCGGAUAACAUUUGGAACCGCAUGGUUCUAAAGUGAAAGAUGGUUUUGCUAUCACUUAUAGAUGGACCCGCGCCGUAUUAGCUAGUUGGUAAGGUAACGGCUUACCAAGGCGACGAUACGUAGCCGACCUGAGAGGGUGAUCGGCCACACUGGAACUGAGACACGGUCCAGACUCCUACGGGAGGCAGCAGUAGGGAAUCUUCCGCAAUGGGCGAAAGCCUGACGGAGCAACGCCGCGUGAGUGAUGAAGGGUUUCGGCUCGUAAAACUCUGUUAUUAGGGAAGAACAAAUGUGUAAGUAACUGUGCACGUCCUGACGGUACCUAAUCAGAAAGCCACGGCUAACUACGUG